AUCUCCAGCGAUUCAAACAAACAUUCAAUUUACCCCUAUAAAUUCAAGAAAUACACCAUACAAGGAAGAUGUGAGGAUGAUUCAAAAUAACACAAAACAUAACACAACCACGAAGAGGAGCAGUUUUUAAACAUCAGGAUUUCUACAAUGGAUAAACAGAUUAUAGAUCAACGACAUCAAACUUCCUUGAAUAAUUGUCAAGAGGUAGAAAAACAACCUGAACCCUCCAUGGAUGAGAUGUAUACAAGAAUCGCACAAAUGCGGAUAGAAUAUUUGAAGUAUGAGCAAGCACAACUUAGAAAUGAAUUAUAUAAAGGAGUAUUACCAGAUAAAUCAUACAAAGAAUGACUAUAUGUAUAUUCGAAUAUUAUGUUAUUGCAUUUACAAAAUUUAAGUUUACAUUGUUACAAAUAAAUGUUAUUUA